rnacentral:misc_RNA from 1 species
UUUUGAUUCAAAAUUUGUGUGUAGAUGACAAAGUAUUUGCCACAGAGGGAUCCUUUAGGACAUAAGAUACAAAAUAUACAUAUUAUAAUUGAACAUGGAUUGGCACCUAAAUAUUUUCUCGAUCUUGUUAGUUACAAUUCAGAUAUUCACCCUUAUUUUACGAGAAAUUCAAAUAAUAUUUACAUCAGCAGAACCAAUACUACAGGUACUAUGAAUUCACUUCUCUAUAAGGGUUUUGAUAAUUUCAAUAAGUUGCCAACGGAACUCAAGUUGAAGACCUCACUGAACAUGUAUAGGAAAAAUUUAAAGAAUUAUGUUGCAAAUCGUAUUUAAUGUCUCAUGUGGCUUCUAAAUGUGUUUUUUAACUGCGUGUAAUUUAAUGUAAUAUUUUGAGUAAUGUAGUAUUUUUAAUGCUUGUAUUGUAAUGGAAUAUUUUAAGUGUUUUAUUGUUAUUAUUAUGACUUGGAUAUUGUAUCUUAAUAACACUUUUUUAUUGUCUAAUACUUAAAAUUGUAUAUACGUAUUAUAAAAUAUCUCAAUUUUAACUGUAUAUUAGGGUUACCUAAUUUUUUUGAAUAAAUUCUUCUUCUUCUAGAAUUUAGUUAAUGCUUAUACCGACCAACACUCUAGUAUAACCUAUUUUUUAUUUGUUUUGUGAGUAGGUAUAUAAUAAAAAAAAAUGUUUAAGAGGUAUUAAUUGUGACUGUCGAGGAAGUUGAUAAUUUAAUUAACAUGAUGGAAAAUACACGAAAAAGGAUAACUUUCAAUGAAAGAAUAAAUUUGUAAGAUGAUGUAAGGUUUUUAGAAAACUUAAUAGUUGAUUCUUUUAUUGUGAACAAGCAAGGAGGCUUAUCCUCGACAAGAAAAUCUCUCACAAUAUUCCUUAAAAUAUGCUGAAAUUAACAUAUUUAUAUUGCACUUGUAAGUAAAAUAAAUCAAUUUGUUUACUUUUUUUCACUUUCCUAUUUAAUGCAACGUUCUGUUUUAUUUGAAGCCAUUUUAUGAAAUACCUACUUAAACUCAACAUACAAGAUAAGAAAUAACGAUUUAUUAAAAUAUAGCAAUAUAAAUUCAACAGCUAUAGCCCAUCAAAAAUUAUGAAAUCAAAUUUUAUGUUGAAAAUCUACAUUAUUUUGUACAAAAGCAAUUGCGGAAUUUGGUUUGUUGGUUGUAAAGAAAAGUCAAAAUAGACAUAUUUCACCCAAUAUAUAAUUGUUUUGUGGAUUUGUGCAGAAGAUUGUGCCGUGCCAAACUAUUAUUUUUCGGAAUAAAGUGGGAAUACUUAUAUGGAAUAACCUUACGAGUGUUUUAUUAGUAAGGCAGUUAAAGACUAACAACCAACAACACUCUUAAAGACAAAAAGAAUCGGUGUAUGCUGUAGCAGCUUUGGUAAAUAAAUGUAUUUUAUUUGGCAAGGGCAACAGCCUUGUCCUGCCAAACUUGACAGUAGCGAAAACACUAAUAUAUGAGGAACAAUUUGUUGAAUUUGUUUGCUGUUAAGUUUGUACCAGUGGGUUAUGAUGUCAUUAAUUCUAUGACUUGCAUUCCUAAUUGUUUGACUUUUAGUUUAGUUUAGUCUGCAUUUUUGUGCAAAUAAAAAAAUAUUGGCAUGAUUCUACAUUAAAUAAGUAGGGUAAUGAUUAGAUUUAUUUAGCCUAAGCUGUUUCAGACUAGCAAACACAAAAACCUAUUUUCAGUUCAAAAUCAUGACAACAUAACAAAAUGAUCUCAGGAAUCUCCCAAAAGUAAAUAAGCUAAUAUUGGUAUAGACAUACACUAAAGA